UACGAAGGGUGCAAACGUUGCUCGGAAUCAUUGGGCGUAAAGCGCACGUAGGCGGCGCUCUAAGUCGGAUGAUGAAAUCCCUCGGCUCAACCGAGGACGUGCAUCCGAAACUGGAGUGCUCGAGUUAUGGCAAGAGGGGUCGCGGAAUUCUCGGUGUAGAGGUGAAAAUUCGUAGAUAUCGGGAGGAACACCAGUGGCGAAGGCGGCGAACCUGGGGCAAUACGUGACGCUGAGGUGCGAAAGCGAUGGGGAGCGGA
rnacentral:rRNA from 1 species